UCGAGAAUAUUUGACAAUGGGCGCAAGCCUGAUCAAGCGACGCCGCGUGCAGGAAGACAGUCUUCGGAUUGUAAACUGCUUUUCAUGGAGAUAAAGGUCACCGCAAGGUGGCUUGAUAGUACUCAUGGAAUAAGAGGCGGCAAACUUCGUGCCAGCAGCCGCGGUAAUACGAAGGCCUCAAGCGUUAUCCGGAUUUAUUGGGCGUAAAGGGUGUGUAGGGGGUUUGGUGCGUCUUUCCGUAAAAUCUUAUCGCUUAACGAUAAGCCUGCGGGGGAUACGGCCAGACUAGAGGAUGCAAGAGGUUUGUAGAACGCACGGUGUAGGGGUGAAAUCCGUUGAUAUCGUGCGGAAUACCAAAGGCGAAGGCAGCAAACUAGUGCAUUACUGACCCUGAAACACGAAAGCGUGGGGAGCAAAAAGG
rnacentral:rRNA from 1 species